CAGAAUGACUCCAGCCUUGGUCUUGGGCGGCGGGCGGCCUCUCUGCUGUAGCUUGUGGUAGCCACUCUGGCCUCAGCCUUGAGCAGCCCAGAUAGGGAAGGACCCCUUACCCCACCCAGCACGGGGUCCUGGGGGAGACACUGUGAAGAUGGAGCUGUUCCAGGCACUGUUGUUCCAACUUCGAGCCUGGUAACUGCUCUCUUUAAAACACAACGCAGGGAGGUCUGGCUUGAAGCGGGUAGUAGGAGCUGUGUGAAGGAAGAAAGAGGAAGCGCCCCUUGCCCUGACCAUUCAGGACCCAGCAGGUCCUGGGCUCCCCUGACACUGUAGCUAUUGGAAGCUAGGCCAAAGGGUGUUAGAUUAAAGCAGGAUCAAAUCAGAUGCUGGUCAGAGCCCACAGUAGGCACAAGAUGGAGACACUUUUGGAUUUCUUGAAGGUGCAUCAUUAUCAGGAAGGCAGCUGGACCCCUGUCACCCAUAUGAAGAGACCCCAGAAGGGCUGUGGGAGGACUGUUCUCUGUCCAUGACCCUCCAGGAGUCUCCAGAGGCAAGAAAGUGUGUCACCCAGCCCUUCGGCCUUCUCCCUCUAGUCCUGACCCUGGGACUGCAUUCUCCACCUUCCUUGAUGGAUGGGUGACAUGUGGCUCAGGGUUUCAUGGAAAAUUCUUCAAGGCCUUAAUUUAUCUGAUAUGACAGCUCAGGGUCUUAGAAUCUGAGAAGGCAGCUUUAAGAGCCAGAGGGGAGACAAGUCUCAACUCUACACUUGGUUACUCCGGGAAGGCCCCAGAACCUGGGGCUCUGGGUCAGGGGUGGGGAUGACCAGGAGAGCCAUCCACGCAGGCAAGAAAGGGAGGCAUGAGGCAGCCAAGAAACUGGUGAUGUUCAAGUCGGCCACCAGGGGGCAGCAUGAAGCCAAGGACAGGCCUCCUAGACUCGGACUCUGUUCUGGCCAGGGGCUGGAAGACCCUGAACACCCGGCUUCCUUGGGGGUGCUUGGAGUCCCCGUAGCUGACCAGCUAUGCGGGUUGUUGUGAGUGCGAUCCGGGGACGUUCUGGGAAACUAAACUGACUUAGCUGCUCCAGGCUCCUCUAAGAAUGAAAAGGCAGGAGGGCUGGGGCCAAUAGGCUUCCUGUGUUACGAUUCACUAAUCAAAUCUCGGAGUUGGUUCGAAGAGCUGGAGGGUGUAGGUUAAGCUGGCCUUAAUCGCCUAGGAGCCACAGCAAGGUUUUAAUAUAGGCAGCCCGUUUCCUCCUCGCAACAGACUGCUGAAGUGUCCGCCUGCCUACUGUUGUGUUUUAGCUUCAGUCAGUAACUGCGCCGUGGAUUUUAGCGAUUUAGGACACAAAAUUUAUUUAUCUAUCUAUCUAUUCAUUCAUUCGUUUGUUUUCGGCCCUGGGGAUGGAACCCAGAGCCAGCGUUCAUACUUGAGAAGUAUCUCAAGUGCCAUACCACUGAGUCACCUCCAGCUUUCAAAUUUUAUCUCGUAGUCCAAUCACUGGCAGCGUGGCUGUGCCCGAGUCUUGCCACAGCCCUCAUUCUGUUCCUCAUUCGGCCAGUCAGGUGGGCACAUAGAAAAAGAGCUCCUAUGGCUGUAAUGUAAUUGGGUGCACACAGAAAUAUCGCCAACAAUUGGUGGCAGAAAUGGUC